rnacentral:rRNA from 1 species
AACGAACGCUGGCGGCAGGCCUAACACAUGCAAGUCGAACGCACCCUUCGGGGUGAGUGGCAGACGGGUGAGUAACGCGUGGGAAUCUACCCUUCUCUACGGGAUAGCUCCGGGAAACUGGUAUUAAUACCGUAUACUUUCUGCGGGCGAAAGAUUUAUCGGGGUAGGAUGGGCCCGCGUUGGAUUAGCUAGUUGGUGGGGUAAAGGCCUACCAAGGCGACGAUCCAUAGCUGGUCUAAGAGGAUGAUCAGCCACAUUGGGACUGAGACACGGCCCAAACUCCUACGGGAGGCAGCAGUGGGGAAUAUUGGACAAUGGGCGCAAGCCUGAUCCAGCCAUGCCGCGUGAGUGAUGAAGGCCCUAGGGUUGUAAAGCUCUUUCAGUCGGGACGAUAAUGACGGUACCCACAGAAGAAGCCCCGGCUAACUUCGUG